rnacentral:rRNA from 1 species
UAACCUGCCCAAGAGAUCGGGAUAACACCUGGAAACAGAUGCUAAUACCGGAUAAUAACAGAUGAUGCCUAUCAACUGUUUAAAAGAUGGUUCUGCUAUCACUCUUGGAUGGACCUGCGGUGCAUUAGCUAGUUGGUAGGGUAACGGCCUACCAAGGCGAUGAUGCAUAGCCAGUUGAGAGACUGAUCGGCCACAUUGGGACUGAGACACGGCCCAAACUCCUACGGGAGGCAGCAGGG